UACAGAGGUCUCAAGCGUUGUUCGGAUUCAUUGGGCGUAAAGGGUGCGUAGGCGGCGCGGUAAGUCGGAUGUGAAAUCUCGGGAGCUUAACUCCGAAACUGCAUUCGAUACUGCCGUGCUUGAGGACUGGAGAGGAGACUGGAAUUUACGGUGUAGCGGUGAAAUGCGUAGAUAUCGUAAGGAAGACCAGUGGCGAAGGCGGGUCUCGUGGACAGUUCCUGACGCUGAGGCACGAAGGCCAGGGGAGCAAACGGG
rnacentral:rRNA from 1 species